UGACUGACUGAAGAGUUUGAUCCUGGCUCAGGACGAACGCUGGCGGCGUGCUUAACACAUGCAAGUCGAACGGGGUGUUUAUUUCGGUAAACACCAAGUGGCGAACGGGUGAGUAACGCGUAAGCAAUCUACCUUCAAGAUGGGGACAACACUUCGAAAGGGGUGCUAAUACCGAAUGAAUGAGAGAUGACCGCAUGGAUAUUUCUCUAAAGGAGGCCUCUGAAAAUGCUUCCGCUUGAAGAUGAGCUUGCGUCUGAUUAGCUAGUUGGUGAGGGUAAAGGCCCACCAAGGCGACGAUCAGUAGCCGGUCUGAGAGGAUGAACGGCCACAUUGGGACUGAGACACGGCCCAGACUCCUACGGGAGGCAGCAGUGGGGAAUCUUCCGCAAUGGGCGAAACCUGA
rnacentral:rRNA from 1 species